rnacentral:rRNA from 1 species
UACGAAGGGAGCUAGCGUUGUUCGGAAUCACUGGGCGUAAAGCGCACGUAGGCGGAUUUGCCAGUCAGGGGUGAAAUCCCGGGGCUCAACCUCGGAACUGCCCUUGAUACGGCAAGUCUUGAGUUCGAGAGAGGUGGGUGGAAUUCCUAGUGUAGAGGUGAAAUUCGUAGAUAUUAGGAAGAACACCGGUGGCGAAGGCGGCCCACUGGCUCGACACUGACGCUGAGGUGCGAAAGCGUGGGGAGCAAACAGG